GGGCCCCAAAAAUAAAAGCCCAAACAAUUGUAAUGGCCUAAAUUUUUUAAAUCAAUUCAAUUAAUAAAUUGUAAGGUGAUAUAACCGUUUUUUUUAUUAGGUUUUAAUGGCUUUAAUACUUUCUCUCUCAUCCUUUUAAUAUGCUAUUCAUUCAACUUUGUUUCUCACGCUCAUUUGUCCCAAUUUAUCUCUUAAAAGUCCAGAUUAUCUUUCCCCUAUUAGUCCUAUAAUUUUUCUUGUUCUUCCCUAAAUUUGACUCUAAACCAAAUUUAAUUUUUAUCAAGCAAUUUAAUUAAUUUCCCCUCUUUUCCAUGAAACUUCAAUUAGUUAUGGGAAUUCAAAUUGUUUUCCCCAUGUUUAGAUCAAUCUAUCUAAGCAACGGGAAUUAUAAUUCAAUUAUCAAUAUCUCAAGAAAAUUUGGAGUAACGAUUGAAUCUCUCCCAUCUUCCCCCUAUUUAUAUCAUCCGAAAUUUUUGAUAUUUUGUAUCAAAAAAAAAUAUUAUUCAAUUACAUGUUGCCGACAUUGGAAAUUUGGGGUAAAACAAUACUACUCUUAAAUUGGUUUCAUCUCUACUGCAAAUCUUCAAGACUGCAUUCUUGCUGCAAUCUGUAAGUUGAAUUAUGAAAGGAUUUAUGAUGGCACUUUGAGGAUGGAUUUUCUUUUUAUAUUGUUCAAAGUUGUCGCCUUCCGAUAGUUUUGAAUCCCAGGUUUAUUCAAUCUUUUUUUGGCCUUAAGGUACAUGUUUAUAUUAUUUACUUUUUAUUAGCUAUAAUUUGCAAUUAUGGCUCUUAAGAUUAGAAAAUAUGUUUACGGAUAUGAUAAGCGUAAUAAAAAGAAAAACCUGAAGAGUUCAUUGAGUCUCAAAGAGGGGCCGUUGAUAAGUUUAUUGUAAAAGAGCCACAAGUUUCUACUGUCAAUCCAAAUAAUGUGGGUGUAAAUGUUGAAAAUGAUAGUAUUGGUGGCCUUGAUGCUAAAAUUGAUAUUUAAUGUGUCGGAUGAUAAUUUUGAUGAUAUGACUAUUGAUUGUGCUGAUGAACGGCCAAGUAAAAAUGUUAAUGUUAGUGGUGAUGUGCCUAUUGAUUGUAAUGAUGAUGUGUCGGAUGUUAAUGAAAAUGAUAACACUAAUGUUGAUGACAGUGAUGAUAAUUUUGAUGACAUCCCUAUUCAUUUGCUUGAUAUAUAUGAUCCAAGAGUUUGGGAUGGUUUAGAUUCCAAAAUGUUCAAUUUUAAUAUUGUGAAAGGUCCUAAAGAUAAAUUUUCAAGACGAUUUACUGCUAAUUUGUAUAUUAAAGUGUUGUCAAAUGGUGAGAACUAUGAUAGGGGUUGACUUGUUUCUAAAGAGCUUGAUAGAGUCUUUUGUUUUUGCUGUAAAGUCUUUAAUUAAAAGGGAUUGGUAAAGGGCAAUUAACAAAUGAAAGUUUUGUUGAUUGGAGACAUAUAUACUUAAGGUUAAAAGAACAUGAGACAAACAUAGAUCAUGUUAAGGAUAUGACUACUUGGUAUGAGUUGCAUCUUAGGUUUCAAGAGAAUCAAACUAUUGAUAAGACGACUCAAAUGCUAAUUGAAUGAAAAAGAAAAAGACCAUUGGAAGAAAGUGUUGCAAAGAAUUGUUUUAAUUGUCAAAUUUCUUGCUCAGCAUAAUCUAGCCUUUCUUGGUUCAAUAGGAAACUAUACCAAAAAAGUAAUGGUAAUUUCUUGGGCUUGAUUGAAAUGUUGGCCGAGUUUGACUCAAUUAUUCAAGAACAUGUCAAGCGUAUUACUAAUAAUAAUAUUCAAUUUCAUUUUUUAGGUUAUACAAUUCAAAACGAGUUGAUACUUUUGCUUGGUUCUGCAAUAAAAAAUGAAAUCAUUAGAAAGAUAAAGCAAUCAAAAUAUUUCUUGAUAAUUCUUGAUUGUACUCCCGAUGUUAGCCAUCAAGAGCAAAUGUCAUUGAUACUAAGAUAUGUGAAUGUCUCUGCAUAUUUGCAUUGAGGAAUCUUUCUUAGGAUUUUUAAUGUAAAUAAUACAACUGGCCAAGGGCUUUUUGAUGUUUUACUAAAUGAAUUGAAAAUCUUGAUCUUGAUAUAAUGGAUGUGCGAGGACAAGGUUAUGAUAAUGGCCUUAAUAUGAAAGGAAAACAUCAAGGAGUUCAAAAGAAAUUUUUGGAUUUAUAUUCUAACGCUUUUUAUAAUUAUACUCCUUGUGGUUGUCAUAGUUUAAACUUGACAAUAUGUAAUAUGGCUAACACAUGUAGAAAAGAUAAAGACUUUUUUGGAGUCAACCAACGUAUAUAUACAAUUUUUGCAGCUUCUACUAAGAGGCGGCAAUUCUUGAAAGACAAUAUAAAAGGACUAACAGUUAAGUCUUUGUCAUCUACUCGUUGGGAAAGUCGUGUUGAAUGUGUUAAGGGUAUUAGAUUUCAAAUGUCAGAUAUAUGAGAAGGUUUACUUCAAGUGGCCGAUAAUAAUGAUAAGGAUUACAAUAUAAAAAGUGAGGCUAAAUCCUUAGCAAAUAAUGAGCUUGGUGAUUUUGAGUUUUUAAUUACAAUAGUAAUUUGGUCUGAAAUAUUAUGUGCAAUUAAAUUGGUAAGCAAGCUAUUAAAAUCAAAAGAUAUGCUUAUUGAUGUGGCUAUUAAAAAAAUAAGAGGGUUGAUUUUUCUUUUUUUUUUUUUUUUUUUUUUUUUGAGGGGUAUAGAGAAACUGGUAUUAAUGAUGCUUUGAAUAGUGCUAAAGAAAUUGCUAUUGAAAUGGAUAUUGAUCCUAUAUUUCCCUAAAAGCGUGAAAUUCGAAGAAAAAAACAUUUUGAUGAAAAUGCAUUUAAAUUUCAAACAAGAGGAUUCCAAACCUAAAUCAUCCAAUGACAUCAACUUUUGAGGAGUAAAUAAGAAACCAAAAAUACUUUCAUAUUCCUCAAAUUGCUCAAUGUUUUAUAACGAGAACUAAUAGCUUGAUCAACAAUGUAAAGAAAGUAAUCAAAUCUAAAUCCAGGUUCUUCAUCAAAUGUUCCUCUAUCUCUAGAAGAAUCAUUUAGAUUUGAUUACUUUCUUUACAUUGUAAAUCAAGCUUAGAUUGUAAAUCAAGCUAUUAGUUCUAUUUACAAAAGAUUGAGCAAUUUGAGGAAUAUGAAAGUAUUUUUGGUUUCUUAUUUACUCCUCAAAAGUUGAUGUCAUUGGAUGAUUUAAGUUUGGAAUCCUCUUGUUUGGAAUUUGAAAAUUAAAUGCACUUAUGUCUAAUUAACAAUAAGAUAUUGAUGGGAGUGAAUUAUGUGUGGAGUUGAAGCUGCUUAAAGAAAUUUUGCGUUAUGACAUAAAAGGAGCUAUUAAUAUUUUGAGGUUUUUGGAAUAUGUGGAUUGUUUUCCUAAUGUAACUAUUGCAUAUGGAAUUUUGUUAAUUAUUCCUGUGACAGUUGCAACUGCAGAAUAAAGUUUUUCAAAGUUGAAGCUAUUGAAGUCAUAUUUUCGUUCUACAAUGCUAAAGAAAGACUUGUUGGAUUUACGAUAAUAGCAAUUGAGAAUGACCUUCCAGAGAAAGUGAAAUAUGAAGACUUGAUUGAUGAUUUUGCCUCAAAGAGUGUUAGAAGAAUAUCACUUUUUAAAUAAACAGAAGUUAACAUAAGUUGAGUUGAUAUAACCUUUGAGUUGUAUUUAGUUGCUAUUAUCAACAUGAAUAAAAUAUCCGAAUUUGAUUUUGCGUAAUUGAAUAUACUACCUCAGUUAAUUAUUAUGUGCAACAAAGGGUAUUAUUUGUGAGACAUAAAAUAAUCCGUUGUUGCACAUAAUAAUUAACGGAGAUAGUAUUAUUGUUAUACUA